AUUGAACGCUGGCGGCAGGCCUAACACAUGCAAGUCGAACGAGUGGCGGACUGGCGAGCAAUUUCUGGGCAACUGCCUGAUGGAGGGGGAUAACUACUGGAACCGGUAGCUAAUACCGCAUACCAUCGGAUGUGCCCAGUUGGGAUUAGCUAGUCGGGGGGGUAAAGGCUCACCUAGGCGACGCUCCCUAGCUGGUCUGAGAGGAGGCCCAGCCACACUGGAACUGAGACACGGUCCAGACUCCUACGGGAGGCAGCAGGGGGGAAUAUUGGACAAUGGGCGAAAGCCUGAUGCAGCAAUGCCGCGUGUAUGAAGAAGGCCUUCGGGUUGUAAAGUACUUUCAGCAGGGAGGCGUUACCCACAGAGAAAGCACCGGCUAACUCCGUGCCAGCAGCCGCGGUAAUAC
rnacentral:rRNA from 1 species